UACGGGGGAUGCAAGCGUUAUCCGGAAUUAUUGGGCGUAAAGCGUCCGCAGGUGGUACAUCAAGUCUGCUGUCAAAGACCGGAGCUCAACUCCGGGCAGGCAGUGGAAACUGGUGAACUAGAGUACGGUAGGGGUAGAGGGAAUUCCCAGUGUAGCGGUGAAAUGCGUAGAGAUUGGGAAGAACACCAGUGGCGAAGGCGCUCUACUGGGCCGUAACUGACACUCAGGGACGAAAGCUAGGGGAGCGAAAGGG
rnacentral:rRNA from 1 species